rnacentral:rRNA from 1 species
AGGCUCGUCCGCUCAGGGUAAGUCGGGACCUAAGGCGAGGCCGAAAGGCGUAGUCGAAGGACAACAGUUUGAAAUUACUGUACCACCGUAAUCCGCUACGAGCGAUGGGGUGACGCAGGAGGGUAGUGACGCGGACUGAUGGAUAUGUCCGUCUAAGCAGUGAGGCUGAUGUGUAGGCAAAUCCGCACAUCAUUAAGGCUGGGCUGUGAUGGGGAGCGAAAAUUACAGUAGCGAAGGUCAUGAUCUCACACUGCCAAGAAAAGCCUCUAGCCAGGAGAAGGUGCCCGUAC